GGCCAGUUAGCUCAGUUGGUUAGACUGUGGUGCUUAUAACACCAAGGUCCAGGGUUCGAUACCUGUACUGGCCA